CUAAGCCGCCUCAAACCAACAAAGAGAGAUGUUGAGCGGCGGUAAUAGCGGAGGUGCAGAAGAAGAAAAUGCUGAAGAUGGCGAGCGCAAUCAGGUUAUUUUCUUAAUUGUUCUAUUAUCAAGUAGUUGAGCAGCGGUAAUACAGAGGUGCAUAUACGUGAUAUGGUUUUUGUUUAUCAAACAGGCUCACUUAAUUAAAUCGGUCCUUGUUCAUGACAUUUCAGUAACAAAUCCAAGUUAUUCAGCUGGGGAGAGGUGAGUUGCUAGUAUUACUUGACAAUACUUUGUAUUGAUGCAUUUUAUUGCAUAAAAUUUUGUAGUCAACUGAUUAGGAGAGCUAAAAACCUAGCAGAUCCAUAUUUUUUUGUUCUUUUUAGUAUUUAUUAAGAACAAGCCGUUAAAAGGGGAUGGCACUCAUGCCUGCAGGCUUAGUUGAGGGUAGAAAAACUCCCGAGCCAACUCGCCCCUAAAAGCUAGGAUGACAAAACAAAAUUCUGGAGCACCCGAAAAAGUGGGAAAAUUCUAAAUAUUUGGUUUUAAACUUUUAAUACUAUUUUUGCAGAGGACAUAUAUGAGGAUUGAGGAAACUGGGAUUGAUGGUAUAAAUGCAAGCAGGUACUAUGCAAUUGAAGCAGAUGUUCUUAAACAAAGUUUCAAAUGCCGUGGACGUAAGUUUGUAUCUAAUAUAUCUUUUGGUAUUCUCAUCUAGGUGGAUUGGCACUGACUCAUAUGCUGACCUAGUGAGUUAUCUAGAGGAGGAAGACACCAUUUCAAAAUCAGUAGCAAAAACUUCAACAAGUAAAGGAAAGAAACCAACGUGGAAGAGUGGCAUUAAGAGGGAAUUGUUACUCAUCUGGUUUCUUCAAUAAAUCUCUCUUUGCUUACCAAAUAGAAAAAGAAAAAAAGAAAAUACCAAAGAUUCGGUUGACUUUAGCAUUCUAGAUGCAGAAAAUAAAAGAUUUAGGAUCAAGCCCUAAAGGUGAGGACUUUCAUUUAAUAAUUUAAAAAUUUUGUUGUACGAUUUGAGUAUGUGUGUAUAUAUGUUUGUAAGCGAAUCAUGUGUAUUUGAAGUAUCAUAAAGAUUAAAUGGUCUUUAUUUAUAAACCUCAGAAUUAAGAUCAUUAUGAUGUCUUAAUAAAUUAGAUCAACUGAAUGGUUAUGAGGUCU
rnacentral:lncRNA from 1 species